UGGAGGGAAGCAAAACAGUGCAUUAAGAACAUAAAUAUAGAUACAACAAGCUAAUUUACACCUAAUUAAAGUAUGUAUACUCUUCAGACAAAAGUCAAUGAUAUUGUUAGGAAUCAUGGCUGGCAAAGAGAUAGCACCAUCCUGGCAAGGUGGAAGCUCUAAAGGACUAAAUCAGGAAAAGAGAGAAUAAAGCAAUAAAAAUACUUCGUAUUGUAUAAAACUUCAAUAUAUUAACUAAAGGCUUAAUAAUUGGAUUCUUGGGACUAAACCAAAACUUUGCAACCAAUUGCAUAUUUAGCCAAGCCUUUUAAUUUUUGCAAUUCAUACAGAGUAUAUAUUUUUAUUCUUUUGGUUGCAACAUCAGCCUAUCUUAAUUUUGGUCAAAACUGACCCUUCAGACAAGGGGAUUCAACAUGCUAGUUUUUGGAAGCUAAUAAAAUAAAAUUAUUAUAAUAAAAUUAGAAAUAAAAGGGUAGUUUUUUAAAAAAUUAUUAUAAAGCUAGAUAGGGUCAAUUACGGCCAAAAUGGGGAAUUGAAUGAAAUUAUAACAAAAUAAAUUAAUUUUUUUUUAAAAAAAAGUUUGUAUAUAUAGCAAAAAUUUAAAGGUUUGGCUAAAAAUGCAGCUGGUAGUAAUGUUUUGGCUUUAACAGUUAUUAAGGCACAAAUUGGGAUUUAGGGUGGUAGUAUAAUUUACACUCCUUCCCAUGUACUCUGUAGUAGAUAUGAGUUUGAACCCCAUCACCCCAUCCCCUAUCAGAUCUACCAAAAAAUAAAUUAUAUAUACAAAGGUUAUACCUAAUAAUGAAAAUAAGAUAAAAAAUCUCUAGAAUUCCUAAACUACAAGUAAUAAAAUUAUGCUGACAGGUAAAAAUCAAUUGUGUGCGACUGCAGCUUUUAUUGUCAAAUAUAUAGUGCUAUAUUAUGAUGAAACAAUCAGAGACAAGACAGACAAUAACUAAGUAAAAGUCAUCCAACAAAUUUCUGAGAAAUGUCAGAGAAACAGUAAUGCAAAGGGUUCCCCAGAGAUGAAGAUAUGAGUAUUGAAUAUGAAAAAAUAUCUUAAGGCUCAAAAUAAGCUUCCUAACAAUGGAACUCGAAAAAUGGCAGUGCUAUUACCAAGAGAAAUUUCCCUUCAAUCUGGAUUUUUUUUGCCUAAGUAACAAAGGCAAGUAACAGUGGCAGAACCACUCAUAAAUCAAAUUGAACAAACUCAAAGGUAGAAUUAUCUACAGCCAGAUUAAAAUGGGCAUAUCUUAGGGACCAAUCCCGAAGAGUAUUAAUCAAAAUAUAAUAAAGAUUUGAUAUUUAAGCAACCAGUUCUAGACUUCUGGCCUCUGGGAAGCACUACACCAAACUGCAGCACCAUCCUUAUAAGGAAAAUAGUCAUGAUGCUUCCCCCUCAUUCCUCAUGGUACUCAAAAACUAAUGAUGUUCCAACUUCUUUUCAGAAUUCAACCAAUGGAAAAUCAUAAAUUUUCCAGUUCAUCUUUGAGUAAAUGACACCACCCAUUGUUCUAGCAUACAUUUAAGUUUUUGGUCCAUUACAAAUA